rnacentral:rRNA from 1 species
UAAGCCUGGGAAACUGGGUCUAAUACCGGAUAUGACUCCUCAUCGCAUGGUGGGGGGUGGAAAGCUUUUUGUGGUUUUGGAUGGACUCGCGGCCUAUCAGCUUGUUGGUGAGGUAAUGGCUUACCCAGGCGACGACAGGUAGCCGGCCUGAGAGGGUGACCGGCCACACUGGGACUGAGACACGGCCCACACUCCUACGGGAGGCAGCAGUGGGGAAUAUUGCACAAUGGGCGCAAGCCUGAUGCAGCGACGCCGCGUGAGGGAUGACGGCCUUCUGGUUGUAAACCUCUUUCAGUAGGGAAGAAGCGAAAGUGACGGUACCUGCAGAAGAAGCGCCGGCUAACUACGUGCCAGCAGCCGCGGUAAUACGUAGGGCGCAAGCGUUAUCCGGAAUUAUUGGGCGUAAAGAGCUCGUAGGCGGUUUGUCGCGUCUGCCGUGAAAGUCCGGGGCUCAACUCCGGAUCUGCGGUGGGUACGGGCAGACUAGAGUGAUGUAGGGGAGACUGGAAUUCCUGGUGUAGCGGUGAAAUGCGCAGAUAUCAGGAGGAACACCGAUGGCGAAGGCAGGUCUCUGGGCAUUAACUGACGCUGAGGAGCGAAAGCAUGGGGAGCGAACAGGAUUAGAUACCCUGGUAGUCCAUGCCGUAAACGUUGGGCACUAGGUGUGGGGGGACAUUCCACGUUUUCCGCGCCGUACUAACGCAUUAAGUGCCCCGCCUGGGGAGUACGGCCGCAAGGCUAAAACUCAAAGGAAUUGACGGGGGCCCGCACAAGCGGCGGAGCAUGCGGAUUAAUUCGAUGCAACGCCGAAGAACCUUACCAAGGGCUUGACAUGAACCGGGAAAUACCUGGACGACAGGUGCCCCGCUUGCGGUCGGUUUACAGGUGGUGCAUGGUUGUCGUCAGCUCGUGUCGUGAGAUGUUGGGUUAAGUCCCGCAACGAGCGCAACCCUCGUUCUAUGUUGCCAGCACGUGAUGGUGGGGACUCAUAGGAGACUGCCGGGGUCAACUCGGAGGAAGGUGGGGACGACGUCAAAUCAUCAUGCCCCUUAUGUCUUGGGCUUCACGCCUGCUACAAUGGCCGGUACAAAGGGUUGCGAUACUGUGAGGUGGAGCUAAUCCCAAAAAGCCGGUCUCAGUUCGGAUUGGGGUCUGCAACUCGACCC